rnacentral:tRNA from 1 species
AGAAACUUAGGUUAACACUUCAAACCAAAAGCCUUCAAAGCUUUAAACAGGGACCACCCACCCCUAGUUUCUG